CCCGCUGAACUUAAGCAUAUCAAUAAGCGGAGGAAAAGAAACUAACAAGGAUUCCCCUAGUAACGGCGAGUGAAGCGGGAAGAGCUCAAAUUUGAAAUCUGGCGGUCUCAGGCCGUCCGAGUUGUAAUCUAGAGAGGUGUUUUCCGUGCCGGACCGUGUACAAGUCCCUUGGAACAGGGCGUCAUAGAGGGUGAGAAUCCCGUCCAUGACACGGACUCCCGGUGCUCUGCGAUACACCUUCAAAGAGUCGAGUUGUUUGGGAAUGCAGCUCAAAAUGGGUGGUAAAUUCCAUCUAAAGCUAAAUACAGGCGAGAGACCGAUAGCGAACAAGUACCGUGAGGGAAAGAUGAAAAGAACUUUGGAAAGAGAGUUAAACAGUACGUGAAAUUGUUGAAAGGGAAACGCUUGGAGUCAGUCGCGUCUGCCGGGACUCAGCCUUGCUUCUGCUUGGUGCACUUCUCGGUAGAUGGGUCAGCAUCGAUUUUGGGUGCCGGAAAAUGGCCGGAGGAAUGUGGCAGCUUGUCUGUGUUAUAGCCUCUUGUCGUACACGGUGCUCGGGAUCGAGGUCUGCAGCACGCCUUUGGUCGGGGUUCGCCCACGCCACGUGCUUAGGAUGCUGGCGUAAUGGCUUUAAUCGACCCGUCUUGAAACACGG
rnacentral:rRNA from 1 species